AUUGAACGCUGGCGGCAUGCCUUACACAUGCAAGUCGAACGGUAACGCGGGGCAACCUGGCGACGAGUGGCGAACGGGUGAGUAAUAUAUCGGAACGUGCCCAGUAGUGGGGGAUAGCCCGGCGAAAGCCGGAUUAAUACCGCAUACGACCUACGGGUGAAAGCGGGGGAUCGCAAGACCUCGCGCUAUUGGAGCGGCCGAUAUCAGAUUAGCUUGUUGGUGGGGUAAAAGCCCACCAAGGCGACGAUCUGUAGCUGGUCUGAGAGGACGACCAGCCACACUGGGACUGAGACACGGCCCAGACUCCUACGGGAGGCAGCAGUGGGGAAUUUUGGACAAUGGGCGCAAGCCUGAUCCAGCCAUGCCGCGUGCGGGAAGAAGGCCUUCGGGUUGUAACUAGCUUUGUACGGAACGAACAAGCUCUUCUAAUACAGAGGGCGAAUGACGGUACCGUAAGAAUAA
rnacentral:rRNA from 1 species